UUGGUGGUCGUCUAGCGUGAGUGACACCUGCAUCUGUAACUUACCCAUUGGAUGUUCUUCGAAAUCACCUGACAACACAGAAAACCACUAGGUAUUACAAGGGCAUCUUUCACACGUUGUCUACAAUUUGUAGAGAAGAGAAUAGUAGAGGAUUGUAUAAAGGCCUUUGGUCCACCUUAUUGUAUCAUUUUUUGUCAAGAAACUGAGAAGACGGAAGAGAGUUGGUGUUGUCAGUGUGGUGAGCCUAUGCGGCAACCACAAGGCUGAAGUCUGCUUUGAUCGUUAUUCAAGAUUUGAGCCUUGGCUCCGGUUUUGAUAGCUCUAUAUCAACUUUCAGCGAGUUUUUGUUCUCGGACUUGGGAUCCACAGUCCAAAG